rnacentral:rRNA from 1 species
GAUGAACGCUAGCGGCAGGCCUAACACAUGCAAGUCGAGGGGUAACUAGAGUGAUAGCAAUAUUACUUUGGCUAGACCGGCGCACGGGUGCGUAACACGUAUGCAACCUACCUUAUACUGGGGAAUAACUUCGAGAAAUCGGCGCUAAUACCCCAUAACAUUGCGAAUAGGCAUCUCUUUGCAAUUAAAGCUCCGGCGGUAUAAGAUGGGCAUGCGUCCAAUUAGCUAGUUGGUGAGGUAACGGCUCACCAAGGCUACGAUUGGUAGGGGUUCUGAGAGGAUGAUCCCCCACACUGGUACUGAGACACGGACCAGACUCCUACGGGAGGCAGCAGUGAGGAAUAUUGCGCAAUGGACGAAAGUCUGACGCAGCCAUGCCGCGUGCAGGAUGAUGGCCCUAUGGGUUGUAAACUGCUUUUGUACGGGAAUAAACCCUUCUACGUGUAGGAGGCUGAAGGUACCGUAAGAAUAAGCACCGGCUAACUCCGUGCCAGCAGCCGCGGUAAGAC